UCUAACGUGGCAGUUUGAUAUUUUCGUGGCCCUUUCUAGACGAGACUCCCCUGUCUUCUCUCUCGGUAUCUUCGUUCUCCUAAAAAAAAAUCCCUAUUGCCGCCGACUACAGCGGACGACCUGGCCGGCGCUCCAGUGCCUCUUUUCUCGGAUGUGCCGGCGCUGCCACCGGGCGGGCGCACAACGCCGCUCCAGCACCCCCUCCCUAUUCUCUCUUCUUGGCUCUCUCCCGAGGUGCCACUUCUAUGGGAGAAGCCCGUCCCUGGCCGCCGUGCUACUUCCCGAGGUAGCCAUCGACGUGGCUGGCGGCGUGGGGGACGAGCUCGGCGCCCUCCUCUUCUCCCAAGGCGGCUGGCGUGACCAACGUGCUGCGUACCGACGCAGCCCUUCAGAUGGCGCACCUUUCUCUCCCUCCCGAUGUGGCUAGCGGCGUGGAGGAGUCCAAGGUGUGCCUCGCGCUGGGAGCCGCCUCCGCCGGUUUGUUGGGGUUGAGGCGCCUUAGGCGCAGCCGCCAGGGCUCCAUCCACAUCAACACACGUAAGCCCUCUCUCUCUAUGCGAGAUUAAAGAUUGAGGAGAGCAGAUGAUAAUAGUGCAGAAAAGGUUUCGUCCAUUCCGUCCAGAUAUGCUCCCUGACCAAUCGCAGCCUUCCACAGCGAAGGUGUCCAGUGCGUCGUCGACAUCAUGACACCCACCACCGGUUUGUCCAUAACAACGACGUGCGUGCCCUAUACUGCAUCUUCGAGGGCGGGAUGCCGGACGGCCGCCUCGCCUGGGGCUUUGGCAUGAUCUAUAGCGAUGAUACGCAGCUUCAACUCGGCGGCUGCCAUCGAGCACCUCAAACUGCGUGCUCAACAGUUCAAGUUAAGUAUUUGUGUCUUCUGAAUGCUUCUCUCUAUUCCAUGUGUCAUGGGUAUAUCCAUCAUCAAAUUCAAUUUAAUUGUUUUUCUUGAUUUCCAUUUGCAGAUUUGAAUGAACUGUUCUUACUCUGUGAUGGUUUGUCUGUAUACAAUUUUCUUCCAUUUUCCCCAUCUAAUUUGUGUUCAAAUGAUAAGUGCCACUACAAAUUAUGGCCAGCUCAGCUGUAUCCUGUAGUUUAGUGAGGUAUGCAGAUUGAACUGCCCUUUCUCUGUGAUUGUUCGGUAUACAAUUUCUUCCAUUCUCCCAUACAAAUGUUCCACUGAUUGGUUAAUUUAGCUGUUGUUAGUGAGGCAUGGUUUGCCCCAUUGGUUUAUUUGGCUCAUUUCACUGAUCAGUUCACAGCUUGCUGUUAUUAUCUUAUGCCCAACCUUGGAAAAAGGAGGGGUAACAUGAUAUCAUUUCUUGGGCUAUUCAUAUCAUGGUAAUGUUUGGUUGUAUAUUUAUGGUUAUAACUUGAUAGCUUAAAUUUAGUUUACCUUGCCUUAUAAAUUCUAGCAGUGAUGCAGUACUGAAAUUGAAGGCUUAACAUGGGGUUGGUAAAAGGAUGCACAACCCUCUUAGGUUGCUAGAUCGUUUUUUUGCUUUGGUAAAUCGUUGGAUGUUUUUUCCUGUGGUCAAACAUUUUCUGCUCACUAUGACCUCUUUGUUUUCAUUCUUAUAUAUUCCUUACCACUGUCCUCUUGUGGUAUUCAAACAUGAGCAAAACGGCGACUCAUUUUUUCAUUACAGAUGCAUAUAUAUGUAAAAAGCAUCUGCCAUUGUGUGAAAAAGAGCAUGUUACAUAUGGAUCUGCUUAUUUUCCAUUGAUGGUAAAUUGUCUAUCCUUCUUGGUAUUUCUCAUUAAUAUCUGACAGUUAUUAGUGCCGCAUACUGUAAUACUUUACUAACAAUUUUUUGUAUCCAGUUAGUGGUGUAGUUCGUGCAGUACUAGAACUCUUGCCUUUUAUACUUUACCUUCCAUUGUGAUAUACCAAUCCUUUUGAUAAAACAUGAAAAACUGAUACUACAUUUCUUUACCAUGAUCUAUAGCUUGACCAUAUUCCUGAUGGGGUUUAAUAACGAAGAGUUGCUUCUAUUACAAGGUAUGUUGGAUUUUUUUUUGGCGUGCAUACUAUGUGAUUGCAAUGUGCAAAAUUUGUGUAGCGAACUCUUACAGUCAUGUGUGUAAGCUAAAUAGAUAAACAGGUAUUGUGCUGUCAAUUGUUUGAGGGUUGUAAUAAAAACAAAUUUAUUGGUCUUGCAGGUAUAUAAUUUUUACCAUCAUUUUUCAUUUCUCUUUAGCACCUUCCACCUAAGAAUUUGUUCGAUGUCUAAAGACUACUUUUCAUAUACAAAUUCCCUGAUAAGUAUGUCAGAAAAGCUUCUCUUCCUGCUUUCAAGUUACAACAGAGAGCUAUAUAACUUGAGUGAUUUGGUGAUCCCUACUUAAUUAUGAUUUCUAAACGGGAAAUAGUCAAUGUGCCUUAUAAAUUAUCAAUUUCAAGUCCGAGUGCUUUUGAUCUUCUGAAUAGUGAAUCAUCAACUUCUGUUUCGGGAAUGGAAUCAUCUAUUUAUUGUGCGGGCUGAUAUUUGACAAUGCCCUAAUCAACCAGCUGCAUAGAUCAUAAUGUGAAUUUCAGUUUUAGUUUGACAAGCUAGAGAUGUCGAUUUUAUAUUCCUUGGUGAAAUAUGAAUGAAACUGAAUUGGGUGGUCCAAAGUUACUGUAGUUAUGAGAUUCCAUGGGCAGGUUAAAAGGAUUUGGUGACUACUUUAGGCCGACUUCAAAGGAAGUACCAAAUUUCACUGUACACUCCCUUGCUCUUGUGUUUGAUGCUGCUCUCUUUUCUUUGGAGUACCUUCGUAAUUCUUUGUAUGGAAUAUAGUUUCUUUGUAUCACUCUGAACAACUAAAUGGAAAACUUAAAACAUAGUUUCUUAUUUUCAACAAUAAAUGUAUAUAGAGUACAAUGCUUGGAUCAACCAUGGCUCAUGUGGUAUAUACUUCUAUUGUUGUCUUUUGUAUUUAUUUUUUGGCUUGGCUAACAGCGCGUUCUCUUCUGUCUGAUUAUAGUUGUUGGUAUUUUUCUGUUGUUCAUCUUGACAGGCUACUGUCAAUUGAUUAAUGCGGCGUCACCUUGCAGUUGUUAAGGCAGGUAUUCUGCUUCCCCUUCUUUUCUGUAUGUUUUGCUUGCUCAAUGCACGCGGUUUGUCUAUCUGCCUAUGUCUCCGGGGGGAAAUAUAUUUGCUGCCAAUGAUGAUGAGGAUGAGCAGAUCGUUGAGCUGGAUGAUCAGCUGCUGCCACCAACUCUCUGUCCAUGGCGGUGCAGAGAAGAAUUGGAUUUUCAUCGAAAUUUCUGUCUUAUAUCUCAAAGACUAAUAUGAAGAAAUAGUCCGUAAAUACUUGCAAUUGACCAAAUCGGUGCAACAACAAUGAAGACAAGGAACAUUAUACAUCAGGAAGUGCUUUCCUGUAGCUAAUAUUUCUACCCCCAGUUUGGUGAAACUAUCUUCCUAUCGUACGGGUGGCAUGUACCAUGUACUCCUUUUGUAACAACAAUAGUUGUUCUGUAUGUUGAAUAAUAUGUGGUUAAUUUCACUAGCACGGGAUGAUAGACACGUUGUUGUUGAUAUGCAGUCUCUUUUUGCUGAUUUGUC